rnacentral:siRNA from 1 species
AAGGUUGUAGAGAUAGCGCAAGA